rnacentral:lncRNA from 1 species
GGUCUUAUCUUAAGGCAUUGGGCUAAGUGCUGGGCCCAGAGAGAUAAACUUGGCACAGUCCCUCAAGGAGUAUUGUGAUGGGCAAUACAUAAAUCACAGCAUGAUGUAGUUAAGUGCUUACAGAGCCAGAUAUUAUCUACUAAGUUAAAGAUGAAAAGAACCCGAGAAAACUAGAAGAGGCGAUUUUUAAAGACUCUUGAGGGAACAAUAAUAGCUCCCCAGGUUGACAGGCAAUGAAGGAUACUCCAGGUAGAGAGGGGGAAUUGCUUGGAUCAUCAGGGGUCUCUAAGCAGCCUGGUAUAGGUGGAGUGGUAGGAUAUGAACUAGGAAAGAAGGCUGAAGCCAUGUAAUAAAACACCUUACAUCCCAGAGUAAGGAGGUUAAGGUCCAUUGAGUUUUGAACUAGAGCCCCUAAAAUGUCCUUGUACUAAGGUCAGGAAUGAUCCCAGGGAUAUUCUGUAGGCUAUGCUAGAAAUUAUAGCUUGGGGUAAAGGAGAAAUCAUGAAUUAAGCAACUAGCAUAACCAGAUAAGAUCCAGGUAAAUAGGAUCCCAGCCAAAGAAUUUGUCCUGCAGGGUCAUAACUGUCUUUUGAAAUAAAUAGAUAAGCCAUCUUCCUUUGCCCUACAACACCCUUAGCAUGUUAACCUGAGCUUCUAAUGAAACUUGUUCCAGGACUCACAAAGAUUUUCAAUUUCCUUUUAACCUGCAAGAAGCUGAUUAAAUUAAGCGCUAUUGACAUCCAGGCUCUUAAAAUAGAAACUCAUUUAAAGGGAUCAGCGGUCAGAAUAACACAUGCCGUGUCACCCUCUGGUUCCCCUUUCUUUUACCCUCCCUUGGUUCUAGCUAUAGGCUUUUUUUUUUUUUUUUUUUUUUUGUGGAUGAAGCUCUGUCAGCUUGUAGGUUUCCCUGAUGAACCCAACUCCCCACUUUCUCAGUGGCUAAAGCAAAAUCACAGAACCAGACUGACUCUUCAAAGUUUUAGAUAAAAACCUCAAAUGGGCACUUGCCAAUGGCUAGGAAUCCUACUAUGCUUCCAUAGGAAGUGCACUUAGGUGGUCUUCCAGAGUUGUUUCACACUCUUUCCUCUGCUCCAACUUCCCACACCUGCCUCUUCUCAACUAAGUGACCUCAUCUUAUCAUAAGACAGAAGCCUUCAGAGUGGGAAACCUGACCUUCCUGCUAGUCUUCUCCAUAAACCCGCUCUACCUGUGUCCAUCAGCGGUCAGCUCCUGCACCUGCGUCCCAUGCUCUCCGUCCUGUUACCUGCUUCAGGACUUUCCCCAGCCUUGAUUUCCCCCCUUAUUUUCUCCAUCAACAAUCUCUUCUCUACUUGGCUCAGUCCAUAUUGUAUAAACAUGCUUUAGUGUCUCCCACCUUUAAAAGAAGACCUUGCCUUUCCCCAUCCCUCAUCCCCCUCCACAUGUGGCAUCAUUUCUGAGCCGAGUUUUACAGUAAGACUUCCUUCUGGGAUACACUGUCUAAAUUUGGACUCUCUACCACCUCACAUCUCCUCUUUAAGUCUUCCCGACUUGGCUUCUUCCCACAUCAUUCCACUGAAACGGCUCCAUUACAGCAAAGACGGUUUGGAGAAAACCACACGCCGAGGCUGACUGAUGGGACUUCAAAUUGGUGAUUCCUACAAACGGGUCCUUAAUGCUGCCCAGAGGCCACACUCCCAGUCCUUGAGUAUUUUACACUUUUCUCAGACCUUCACCACUUUUUCAUUGGUGACCUUGCUUUGCACUUUUCAGUUCUACAGAAACUGAAACAGUUUGAAGGGAACUUCAGUGCAUGCAGCUGAAUGGACCCAUCACUUGUACCUGUGUCCUACCUGUCUCAUUAACUAAGGUGCCCGUGGUCCUUGCGAAGGUCGACCCCUCCAUGUGCGCACUGGAUCCCCUCUGCUCUCCCCUACUCAUUGACUGUCCUGGUUAACUAACUCUGCCCUGUCCUCUGGUAUCACCGUUUCUCUAUUAUCCUCAGCACCCUACAAAAUACGUCACUUCUCCUGCGAAAAACAGCAGCAACGUGGUGAGAACAAAAACUUCGCUUGGCCACAGCUCUCCUCCAGUUACCAUUUCCAUUCCUUUCUCUUCCAUUUAUUACCGAACCAGGUGAAUUAGGUUCAUUUUGCCCAAAGCGCGGCAAGCCAAAAAGGUUGAGACGCUGAAGUCUGCAGCAAAGAGGGAGUUUUGUCAAAAUGCAGCCUAAAAGGAAACAGGAGAAAAAUCACAAAUUCACCUCCUGGAGGUGAGGUGCUCAGGGUAGGGGUACUUAUGGGAUGGGGGAUGAAGCAGCAGGGAGUCUGAGGUGUGGGGGGCAUGGGAAGCGGGGCAGAGGAUGACUAGAAGAAGGGGUGGGUAUCAAGGUUCUGCACAGGUGCAACCAAAUUACAAGCCUCUGCGCGUCUCAAAGAAGGUGGUGCUCAGCAUCAUCUGAGGGUGGAGCUUUUGGUCCUCUGACGUCAAAAGGUCACCAAGGGGACACUCAGGCAUGCGCAGUUGGAGCGUCUGUGGUCCUAGCCAGUCCUAUGCAGCUCAGCUCCAACUAGCCAGAGCUGAAUGCUGGCUCCCCUGAGCUAGACACCCAUGGCUGCAAGUUCUGAGAAAGAAGAGAACUUGAGCAAAAAUACUGUUUAGGCUUUGUGUUGUUUGGAGGACAUGCAAGUCUUUUGUAGCAACCAUUAAAAUCACCUUGAUUAGUAAAGGCAGAUUGUAGGUGAAAUGGGUUUGGCUGAGAGGUACCCACAGUUUCACUUUUACAACCAGUUUUUCCAAAGAAGAGGCUACACUUGAUGUCUCUAGAUUCACUCCUCCCAUUCUCUCCUGAAUCCGUUGCACUCAAGCUUUUACCUCAUGAAUCUCUUCUGAUCUACUCCAAGAAAAUGCAUCUUAAUGGGAUCAGCCAAUCGCUCUCUGUUAAGUCGGAAGGUCAAUGCUCUUUUUUGGCAUAUCAGCAGCAUUCGAUUGCCCUUCUCCUUGAAACACUUGCUUUACCUGGCAGCCAGGACGUCGUGCUUGCCUGGUGUUCCACCUGCCUCUCUGGAUGCUCCCGUCAGGCUCCUUUUCUGGUUCUUCCUCAUAGCCUUAGAUGUUGGAGAGGACCAGGGAUCUGUGUACACCUAAUCUCUUCUUUCUACACUUAUGUCUUAGUGGGUUCAUCCAGUCUCAUGGUUUUAAAUUUCAUACAUGUGCUCUGAUUACUUCCUAUUCCCUGUCUUACACCUGGUUAUUUUCCCUGAACUCUGGAUUCGUUUGUGUGUCCAAAUGCUGACACAGCUUCCUCAUGGAGAUAUUUAAUAAGCACUUCAAAAUUAGCAAAUCCAAAACUGAAUUCAUUUUCUCCUCCCCAAAUGCACAGCCUCUAUAGUCUUCAUCUCAAUAAAGGACAACUCCAUUUUUUAAGUUUCUCAGACCAAAAAAUCUUGAAGUCAUCCUUAACUCUUUUUUUCUCUCACAUCCCACAUCCAAUUCAUUAGCAAAACCAGUUGGCUCCACCCCUUAAAUAUUUCCAGUCCAACCACUUCUUACCACCUCACUGUUAAUUAUCUGGUGGAGCCAUCAUCACUUACAGCCUGGGUUAUUGCAAUAGCUUCCUAACUGGUCUCUACUCUGGUUUGGUGUUUUGGCCUCUGCUUCUAUUCUUGCUUCCACAUAGUUGAUUAACACAGCAGCCAGAAUGAACCAUUUGAAACUCAAAUCAGGUCAUGUAAAUGAUCUACUCAAAACCUUCCAACCAUAUCACUCAGGAUAAAAGUCAAAAUUCAUGCUCUGUCUACAAGACCCUCCCUGUCUGACCCCAUUCCUCCUCUGCUCUCCCCGAUACCCUUCUCGUUUCCUCCACUUCCACCACUCUGGCUUCCUUGCUCUUCUUUCACAUGCCAGGCACACUCUUGCCUCAGGGCCUUUUAAAUUAAUUUCCCCUCUGCCUGGAAAGCUCCCCGGAUAUCUGCAUGGCUCAUCUCUCACCGAAGGAUCUUACAGAGAUGUCAUUUUGCUCUUGAGAGGUCUUCCUCGACCAGCCUGUCACCCACUACCACCUCCCCCUGUUCCUUCCCCAGCUUUGUCCUUCACCUUAAAAUAUACAGUAUAUAAAAGAGCAGUAAGUGUUAUCUAUUUAUCUUAUGAUCUGUCUCUCUCACUGAAAGGUAAGCUCCAAAGGGCAGGGAUCUUUUAAAAUGUUCCACUCGCCUCCAUAUCUGCAGGACCCAGAGGAGUGCCUGACUCCAAAUAGAUAUUUGCUCAACUGUCAACAGGUUGAGUAAGAUAAGGAUAGAGAAAACCUAAAAACCUUUUAGUCACCUGGGUGCGGGCACCCAACUGGCAGAGAACUGGAUUUAAUCAGGGUUUGGUUUCACCUAGCAACCACUUCAUUCUCCCAUUCACCUGCCUUACAGAAUACAUAGAAUACAGAGGAUAGAUACUUGCUAUGUUAGGCUGCUAAGGUGAAUGGUAAUUUGUUUUGUGUUAAAAUCUCCAACUCUGAUUUGUGGGUUUACCUAUUUCUUAAGUUUUUUGCUUCAUGUAUUUUGAAGUCUUCUUUUUUUUUUUUUUUUUUUUUUUUGAUUUUUAGGGCCAUACCUGUGGCAUAUGGA